UUCUACCUUCCUUAGAAACCUCAUCACUGUCCCACAGUGCAGGCGAGGAGAGAGAGGUGCUGCUGUGAGGAGCUGGAACUGCAGAGUCAAUCCUAGUGGGGACUGCUGACUGCAUACAGAAUGUGACAGCAGCCAAGGAAUAAUGUACCAAAAAAAAAAAACAAAAAAACAAAACCCAUCCCAAUUCUUCGCAUUUCUACUUCCUAUGAAGGAGUACAAAAGCAUGCUCUUGAGAGGGAAGGUUGUCAAUAUAUAUAUAUUUUAAAGCUUAAACAUAAUACCGAAAUUGGCACAGACAGCUCUCUAACAGACUCUCAAGAAGAGCGAGAAACCUAUAAAAAUAGAGAUCUAUGUCAAAAAGAACCUUGGAACACAGUGGUCAGGUGUAUAAUUAGAACCAGCAAUCCAAAUACUUACAUUACACAAACACUGCUUUGUUGAAGAAGUUUGCAAACAUUUAGCACAUGAAAGAGAAUUACCUGCCCUAAAACACCAUAACAUGUCAUAAUUCCACCUUAAGCAAUAUAAUAUGAAAGGGGCUAUUUUUAGCUUUCCCAUGGUUGUUAUGGCAACCACCUUCUGGCUCCAGCUGUACACAAUGUUUAUAAUUCCAGGGAAGUGAAAAGAGCAACUUUCCUCUAUAAUGUAAUUAUGUACUUUCUACAUCUAUGGUAACAAUACCUUAGUUUGAUUAUAGAUACUUGUUUAGUGAUAGUCAAAUUGGCCCUAGGCUAUAGUUCUAGAGGGUUUGGAAAAUCUCAUACAUCAGACCAGUGGAAGGAAAACAACAACAAAGGAUCAUGACAAAGGACUCUGCUGUUACUCAAUGGAGAUACUAAUGCUAUGGAAACCAGCCAUAGGAAACAAGCCAUUUGGGGAUGGUGUAAAGAGCAGGCUGUAAUAAAACCACUUAUAAUGUGUAAGUAGUUGCAGCCUGUGACUGAGUUCCGGACAAUGAAAUGUGGGCAGAAGUGAAACUUCCCUUAAAACCAUCUCGAUGACUGGGCACAGUGGCUCACGCCUGUAAUCCCAGCACUUUGGGAGGCUGAGGUGGGCAGAUCACAAGGUCAGGAGUUCAAGACCAGCCUGACCAACAUGGUAAAAACCCAUCUCUAUUAAAAAUACAAAAAUUAGCCAAGCGUGGCAGUGGACACCUGUAAUCCCAGCUACUCAAGAGGCUGAGGCAGGAGAAUCACUUGAGCCCAGGAGAUGGAGGUUGCAGUGAGCUGAGAUCACACCAUCACACUCCAGCCUGGGUGACGGAGCGAGACUCCGUCUCAAAAAAACCAAACCAGACCAAAACAACAAUAAAAAAAACUCAUCAUCAUUAUUCUUUUUUCUUUCAUCUGUCAGCCGGAUGCAGAGAACUCCAAGAUCCUAGAAAAUGAUGAUGCCCCUAGAUGGAAGGAGCCUCAAAUCUCUGAAUGACUCAGUAGAGAGGGGAGGGAAAAGUAAACCUUUAUGUGUGAAGCCACUGAGAUUUGGGAGUGGUCUGUUUCAGCAGGUAGCUAACCUUGACUGACACAGCUAGUAACCAAGUCCUUUAAUUCAAGUAGAUAUAGAUGUUCCUUUUCCUAACCAAAAGUACUGAUUCAUAAAAUUCACAUACAUUUCUUAACAGUUCUUAACAAGUAUCAAAAUGGUAAUGUGGUGUCAGGUUCAGUCAUAGCUUCUAAUAACUUUCCACCAUUUCUCAACCCCAGUUUAAAAUCAACUUGAUUUUUCUUUUUCCUUUCUUUUUCUUUUUUGAGACAGGGUCUUUCUCUGUCACCCAGGCUGGAGUGCAGUGGGGCUAUCUUGGUUCACGGCAACCUCUGCCUCCUGGAGUUCAAGUGAUUCUCGUGCCCGAGUCUCCCAAGUAGCUGGGAUUACAGCUGUGUGCCACCACAGCCAGCUAAUGUUUCUGUACUUUUAGUAGAGACAGGGUCUCACCAUGUUGGCCAGGCUGGUCUUGAACUCCUGGCCUCAAGCGAUUCACCCUCCUUGACCUUCCAAAGCGCUAGGAUUACAGGCAUGAACCACCACACCCAGCCUCAACUUGAUUUCUUAAAAGGCAAGGAUCCAGCUCAUCCAUGAUACACUCAACUAAUGCCUAUUGAACAGAUGGACUCUCCUUUUCUGCACUGCUUUUAUGUAAUGCUCCAGCUAUGAUCAUGGCUGUCAGGUCUACAGAGGUAGCAGUGAAGUUCCCAGCUCCUCGGUUUUGUAUUAUUACUAACUGUAUAGCUUCAUAGCACUCCAUUUCUUUGGGCCCCUAUUUUUUCAUCUGUCAAAUGAGGUAGGUUACUGUCAAUUAAUUUAAUGCACUGGAUUUCUAUGACUCUUUGACUAAGACUUUAUGCUGUAAAAUAAUUUUACCACAAUUAUCUCUUUUGAUAUGUUUUUCAGCAACACAAUUAAAAAUUCCUUUUAUAAUA